GUCAUCACCACCUCAUAAGAUUGCCUGCUGCAGUUUGCAGCCGAACAUGCAGCAUAGGGAAGACCAGCAAUGGGGCCCUCAUCAGCAUCAUGCAGACAUGCCCUCACUGUAAGCGUUCCUGUGAAUGGAACGGUCAGCCACAUGUUGGCCAGUAUCCGGCCAGCCAUCAUCAUCUGUCAGUUGCAAAAGCUUUCACAGGCUCAUACUUUCCACAAAUACACAAGUAUCUUUGAUGAAGGGCCAGAAGCUGAUGUACGCUGCUAUGCCCAUCAAUGAGGCUCUGGCAAAGACCUUACCUCCAGCCUCACCUCUUGCCUACUCACCAACGGCCGUUGACGGGGAGAACAAAAUUAGAAACCUGUAUGGAGACUUGCAAGAUGGAGACUGUCCAGACUGACAGACGGCUUGAUACUAAUGUCUUUGAAUGGAGAGAGACCUGGCAUUUGUCUUUCAAAGCAACUAGACAACUUUUACUCGU